GAUGAACGCUGGCGGCGUGCCUAAUACAUGCAAGUCGAGCGAACAGACGAGGAGCUUGCUCCUCUGACGUUAGCGGCGGACGGGUGAGUAACACGUGGAUAACCUACCUAUAAGACUGGGAUAACUUCGGGAAACCGGAGCUAAUACCGGAUAAUAUAUUGAACCGCAUGGUUCAAUAGUGAAAGACGGUUUUGCUGUCACUUAUAGAUGGAUCCGCGCCGCAUUAGCUAGUUGGUAAGGUAACGGCUUACCAAGGCAACGAUGCGUAGCCGUCCUGAGAGGGUGAUCGGCCACACUGGAACUGAGACACGGUCCAGACUCCUACGGGAGGCAGCAGUAGGGAAUCUUCCGCAAUGGGCGAAAGCCUGACGGAGCAACGCCGCGUGAGUGAUGAAGGUCUUCGGAUCGUAAAACUCUGUUAUUAGGGAAGAACAAAUGUGUAAGUAACUAUGCACGUCUUGACGGUACCUAAUCAGAAAGCCACGGCUAACCACGUG
rnacentral:rRNA from 1 species